CCAGAACAUACCGUUUGGAAUCAUUUAUUAAUUAUUUAUGGACAAAAUAUAAUUUACAUCAGUCUGUAAUUCAGAUACUUUUUAGGCCAGCAGAGAAGGCUUUGCAGGCCCUGACGGCCCACAACUGGAUUCUCCGAAUCAUAGAAGGCAUCAUAGAAGGGGAGGAGGCAAUCAGAAAUGUCUGCGAGGAGUUCAGAGUGAAAAUGUUGAGUCCUGCAGAAAUUUCUUUCCUGAGAGAGUACCGUGAUGUGAUGACACCUUUGGUAAAGGCUUUGAACAUCCUGCAGUCUGAAACCCACACGCACAUGGUGUGGCUCCUGCCGCUGAGCUACCAACUAAAAGCAAAGCUCAGCAGUCUGGAAACCUCCUCCAAGAUAUGCCUGCCACUCGUCAGAGCCAUUCAGGAUGGUGUCUCAAAACGGUUUGGUCCGAUGAUGGAGGAUCCAGAGCUGAUAGCUGCUGCCAUCUUCCUCCCGAAGCUCAAGACCAACUGGACUGAGAAGGCAGAUGUCACUGAAGCAGGUGUCAGCGGCUCCCGAGACGACUCGACUGAAGCGAGGAAAGAUUCUCACCUGAGAGACACAGCAGCACCGUGAAGAAGAAGAGAAAGAUCCGGAAGGCAGACAUUCUCCCUCGCUCGCCCUUGGUCUGUCUCCUCGCUCAGAAAAUGAUCAGAUUCCAGGAGAUCUGAUGAAAACAUCACUUCCUGUGGUGAAAUCAAGACAAACCCAACUGACUACAACACCGGAAAGGUGGUGAAGUUCCUCUAAUGGAUGAGUUUGUUGUUUUUUUAACUGUUUUUCUUCACGUUUGAACAGGAGAGUUGGCAGAGAAACUCUGAUUUCAGGUUUUUCUUCUCAGGAGUUGAUAAAAUGGAUGUUAAAGCAAAUGCAUUCAUUCAUUAAAUACGAAUAUGAUGCAUCUGUUUAAGAUUUUAAAUGGUUUUCGUUUCAGAAAUGAUUCACAUUUAUACUUCAACAUUCUGAAAAGGAUGUCCGUUUCCAUGGAAACUAUAGAAACAGUGAUGGAGUUUUCAUGUUGAUCCUCUGGUUGGUGCUGCUGUUGGUAUUUGGAAUUAAACCACAGAACUCUAAUGCUACCAGGACCAGGAGAGUAUGGACCAGGACUGUAUGGGAAAAAAGGAAAAACGAGCCACACAGGUCUUCUAGGUGCUGAUUUUUUUUUUUUUUUUUUCCAUUUUUUUUAAAUCGCUCCACAUCUGGAACAGACAAAUGAUCACACAGGCAGAAACUCAGUGGGGCGAAAAAUACGUCAUUUAUUGAAAUUCUAAUCCAAACAACUUCCAGGCUGCAGCACGAGAUUCUGAGCAAACUGUGGUGACUGGAACAAAACUUGAAAUUGAUUAGGAGAAAGAAAGAAAAAAAAAAACAACCAUCCGCUGACUUCAGAAACAAAACGUGCAAAAGAAGCCAACGCUGGGAGGAGUGAACAUGAAACAUUCAAUUCAACAAGAGAACCAACUUAAAACACCACUUACAUUCAGAUAAAGAAAAAACAAACAUUUUCGAGCUGUUUCCUGUUGCUAACGUGAGCGUUUCCCAAUGAGAACAGCUGCCGAAACGUCUUGACGGGUCCGGAAAACACCAAGAUUUCCACACAAAUUCAGUGAACAGGCAGUGAACAGGAGAUAAAGUUAAAACCAACAAUGAAAAAGAUUCAGCUGUUCUGUUGAAACCUCCGUAAACUGGGAAUGACUCAUGGAAAAGUAUUUUACACACUGGAGGCAAAACGAGAAAACAAAACACCAAAACAGUAACACUGAAUUAAUCUCAUUAGCAUCGCUGGCUAGCUAGCUUUACGCUCAUUAGUGCUGCUGGUUAGCUAGUUUUGAGCUCAUUACCAUUGCUGGUUAGUUGGUUUUGAGCCUCGUAGCAUCGCUGGCUAGCUGGUUUUUGAGCUCGUUGGCAUCACCAGUUAGCUAGUUUUAAUCAAAAUGUCCUGAAAUCGUGCAAACAAAUCAAUUACAGACAGAAAACACUUUCAAACCUGAUUCUUGGAAAUGCAAUCUUCUCAUUUUGGCUUUCUUUCUUGGGAAAAUGGUUCUUCUGACAGAAGAAAUCACAUCUUUCCUCAUUGUUUAUCACAGCUUCCUGUCAUUAGCUGGAUUUGUUUUUUCUUGUCCAUUAAAAACCUAAGAAGAAGAACAUGACAACUGAUUGCAAUGGUUCUUCUGCAGGAAGUCUUCAGGUGUCUUCACACUCGAGAAGUGGAACGUGCUCUGAACUGGAGUUAGCACUGAAGCUAACAUUAGCUUCUAAAUAUUGAGUUUGGUCACAUCAGUUAAAACAAAACAAAACCAAAAAAAAAAAACACUGACGGAGUGUGAAGCAUUUUUCAUUUGGAGCCCCCAGAUUCGAGAUUCUGGUUUGGGAGUUAGCAUUGAAGCUAACACGAAUGUCAGACUAAUGCAGAGGAGAUUUGUCGAAUUCGGUCAGAAUGAAUUUGGACUAACAGGAAGUGGCGGGCUUCAGAAGCGCCGCUCCCUGCAUCUGAUUGGGCUCACAUCUACCUGUGAGAAGCUGCCGAUAGGUUCCUCAACUAUAAAAAGAAAAAAGAAAAAAAAAGAAAGAAAGAAAGGUGACUGGCGUUGUGUGGCAGCUGCCUGUCAGCGGUAGCCUCGUCGGCGGCGUUAGCCUGGUUCGCCAUCCUGGAUCCCUCGGCACAGUUCCAGGACCGAAACUCAGACUAAUUCAUGAGGAGACCACACCAAGUGCUGUAAACAUAAGAAGCGCCGCGUCGUGCCCGCGCUGAGGCACGGCGGAGGCAUCAUCAUGAUUGUAGCUGCUACCCCUCCUCAGGAUCGGACGCCACGGAGGCCACAACUUCAUUGUUUUUUUCAAGGGCGUCUUUCAGCAACCAUUUAAAAACAACAAAAACGACGAAUUCCCAAUUCACCAAAAACAUUCGAUUGGUGGCCACGCCCACUUUCAACCAUAAAGUCCCAAAAUCUUGCUUUCAGUUCUGCAAACUGUCUUCUUCUGUUUCAGUGACACCCAGCGUCCCUCAGAGGUCUUGGCACCCCGUACAGGUUCUGGUGGUCUCGCUUGGCGACUGUUUCCUGUUCCCAGUGCGAACCAGAAAUAUCUGGAACAAAGUGCUUCAGUUUACAGGAUUCUUAUUCUUUCUCUUCUUUUUUUUUUGUUUAUGUUGAAAAAAUCCUCCGUAACAAAACUAGAAUCUCAGUUAAAAUAGAUGUCUGGAUCAGAAUCUGUCCUCUUUAAAAGUCACAGCUCAAACAUGGCGUCUGGCCCGACCAGCGGUGAGCUGGACGGCGACCCGGGAAGCCACCGCCGCCGCCGCCGUCCGGCGGGUCAGCACACUUCCUGGACCU